rnacentral:rRNA from 1 species
UACGUAGGUGGCAAGCGUUGUCCGGAUUUAUUGGGUUUAAAGGGUGCGUAGGUGGUCUAUUAAGUCAGUGCUGAAAUAUCCCGGCUUAACCGGGAGGGUGGCAUUGAUACUGAUGGACUUGAGUAAAGUUGAGGUGGGCGGAAUUGACGGUGUAGCGGUGAAAUGCUUAGAUAUCGUCAAGAACACCUAUUGCGAAGGCAGCUCACUAAGCUUUAACUGACACUGAGGCACGAAAGCGUGGGGGAGCAAACAGG